GGUGAACGCUGGCGGCGUGCCUAAUACAUGCAAGUCGAGCGAACGGACGAGAAGCUUGCUUCUCUGAUGUUAGCGGCGGACGGGUGAGUAACACGUGGAUAACCUACCUAUAAGACUGGGAUAACUUCGGGAAACCGGAGCUAAUACCGGAUAAUAUUUUGAACCGCAUGGUUCAAAAGUAAAAGACGGUCUUGCUGUCACUUAUAGAUGGAUCCGCGCUGCAUUAGCUAGUUGGUAAGGUAACGGCUUACCAAGGCAACGAUGCAUAGCCGACCUGAGAGGGUGAUCGGCCACACUGGAACUGAGACACGGUCCAGACUCCUACGGGAGGCAGCAGUAGGGAAUCUUCCGCAAUGGGCGAAAGCCUGACGGAGCAACGCCGCGUGAGUGAUGAAGGUCUUCGGAUCGUAAAACUCUGUUAUUAGGGAAGAACAAAUGUGUAAGUAACUGUGCACAUCUUGACGGUACCUAAUCAGAAAGCCACGGCUAACUACGUG
rnacentral:rRNA from 1 species